rnacentral:lncRNA from 1 species
GCAAAUGUUAGGAAAUCUCGUUCGGCUUUGUUCGGGUGCCAAUGCUAAACCGGCCUCGAAGUCAAUGUUUUCAAGUUCAGAGAUCGAGCAAUCUGUGAAAGAGGCUGCAUUCUUUGUCGAUCUUGACUGACACCAACGACUGAAGAGCUCUUAUAGGGUUAGUAAUCCUACACAUCUUGGCCCACAAAUGAGGACCAAGAAUUGAAAAUGGAUCCAAUUAAAAAGAUUUUACUAUUGUUUCAGAAAUUGAAAUUAAUAUUUGAUGAUGGAAAAAAAA